rnacentral:rRNA from 1 species
UGGGGAAUAUUGGACAAUGGGCGAAAGCCUGAUCCAGCCAUGCCGCGUGUGUGAAGAAGGCCUUUUGGUUGUAAAGCACUUUAAGUGGGGAGGAAAAGCUUAUGGUUAAUACCCAUAAGCCCUGACGUUACCCACAGAAUAAGCACCGGCUAACUCUGUGCCGGCAGCCGCGGUAAUACAGAGGGUGCAAGCGUUAAUCGGAAUUACUGGGCGUAAAGCGCGCGUAGGUGGUUAUUUAAGUCAGAUGUGAAAGCCCCGGGCUUAACCUGGGAACUGCAUCUGAUACUGGAUAACUAGAGUAGGUGAGAGGGGAGUAGAAUUCCAGGUGUAGCGGUGAAAUGCGUAGAGAUCUGGAGGAAUACCGAUGGCGAAGGCAGCUCCCUGGCAUCAUACUGACACUGAGGUGCGAAAGCGUGGGUAGCAAACAGGAUUAGAUACCCUGGUAGUCCACGCCGUAAACGAUGUCUACCAGUCGUUGGGUCUUUUAAAGACUUAGUGACGCAGUUAACGCAAUAAGUAGACCGCCUGGGGAGUACGGCCGCAAGGUUA